AUUCACAAAUGAUAAUAAAAUUAAGUAACAUUCUCUUGAACAACCAAUGGGUCAAUAAAGAAAUUAAAGGGAAAUUAAUGAGUAUCUUAAGAUAAAAAUGGAACCAUCAUAUAUACCGAAACUUAUGAGAUGCAACAAAAGCAAAUUUAAGAGGAAAGGUUAUAGCAAUAUCAUAACAUUCUGAGGUCUUUCCUCUCUAUCUUUAGUACAUGGUGAAAAUACCAUAUUUGGGUGUAAAAUAAAGCAACACUUCUAUCCCAUGAAAGUCUUGGUGGAAUCAAUAGGAACUUAAAAAACUGUUAAAAAUGGAUAGUUUUGGCAUUUUAUAUGUAGGUCCUCUGUUCCUAUUAUUAAUCUAAAACAUCUGAAGGUAUGAAUGCAUUCUUUCCAGAUAGCAUGUCAGUUCCUCAUUUUCUUCUAGUCAUCCUGUUGUCAUGUGGGAUCUUCAUAAAUCAUUCCGUCUUUGCAUCUUCAACCACUACUUCCUCACUAAUCUCUUGCCACAGUGUACAAAUGUGCUAACGAACCCUUCUGCCCCCAUGUACGUGAGAUCCCUGACUCUCUCCCCUCAUCCUCUGUGUUCUCCAACUCACUUGAAGUCUUUUCCUUCUUCUGUCCACCUCAGCAGUGUUGUCUGGGCUUCGCUGUGUUCCUCAUUCCAGCUCCUUUCUCAAGGCUGUGAGUAGCAUCAAAUGGUGUGUGACUCCUGCAGUAUUGGGCAGAUUUAUUUGUCAUUUCAGACAUUUCAUUUAGUUGUUAGUGAACUACACCUGUGGCUCCUCUUUCUCUCUCUCCCUUUUUUUUUUCCAUGUUCUGUUUGUGCAGUCUUCAUCUUCUAGGCUCUCUCCUUUGGCUCUUUCAUCUGACCUUAUUUCUUCUACUGUCCCAUCACAUCUUUGAUUCCUCUGAGCUAAAUGCUAAUCUUGAUGCAUCUCCAAAUUGCCAGAGCCUCCUUCCAAAAUCUACUGGACAUUCUCACCUUGAUGACUGAUUAUUACUAACACACCACAUCCAAAUCUAUUUCACUGUCUCCUGACCCUCCUUCUCCCUCUGUCAUUUCUCUUCAUGGGCUCGCCAUUAGCAGAUGCUCAAGUGCAAGGCUCUGGGUCCUUCUGCCUCCUCUCUGUCUCCAUGUCCAUGUCACCAGGUCCCCACCCUCACAUGGUCCACCCUCAGAGCACAAUCUCAGAGCUGGUUCCUGGGUUGUGUGGCCUCGUUAUCCAUCCUGGAUAGAGCUGUAUGUCACUGCUCACAGCUCUGCGUCCCAUUCCUUCUGGUUCUGCCUUCACACUGUUGCCAAAAUCAAUUUCUACUGGUGGACUUGGCCCUACAGGGCCUGCUUUGGGACCUUUGCUUCCAUGUCACCAAGGAGGCUGCUGGUCUACCUUACAGAUGACUUCCCACCCCUUAAACAGGCCCUGCAAUUUCUGUACCAGUCCUGGUAGCCAAUAUUCAUUGCCUUUUCCUUGGACCUCUUUGGUGCUUAGUUAAUAGACUUUAGACCUGCCGUGAAGAGUUCUUCUGUAUCCAUCCGUCUGUCCGUCGGUUGGGGGAAGGUGUGGUACAGGACUGUGUCAUACAAGACUUUCUAAGCCAGGUGAAAAAGCUUUUCUCCUCCUUAUCUGUGUGCUGUUGGUUGAUUUCCAUCUUCUUUGGCAGUUGACCAGUAACACUGCCCGAAAUUCAGAUAGCAGCUGAAUGUUAGUCUUUCUGUCUCAGUUUUUCAUGCCCUUGAGAUGGGAUAAAGUGGUAAAAUCUCUGACAUGUGGUGUGUUAUCACAGGUUGUAGGAAAUUUACUUGUGGCUUCUUCAACAGUCUCCGAAAGGCAAACAGGCAGAAUAUGACUCGCUCCCCCAGCCCCGCUCCCUCCACCCCUCAUCCAGCAGGCUGUGCAAUUGCUCUGGCCAUCGUAGCCACUGUGGAAGUAAAAAUGAAAGUAACAAAUCCCCUAGGCUGGCACUGGCUCUCUCUGGAUGUGGUCUGUUGGUCUGUAUACGAUUAUCAGCCUGAGUAGCACCUCGUUAUGAAAACAAAUGUCUCGUCUUUUUUUUUAACACCAGCCAGCCCUUUGUCUCCCUCAUAGCCCUGGGCGGGUGAGACAUCAUUGGCUUCCACCAGCAUCAGGGGCCUGGGCGGGCCCAGAGUCAGCUUCAUCCAUACCUCAGGGUCUCUCCUGCUGCCCGAAGCCCCCAGCACGCACCCUCCUGGCCAUGCAGCCCGAAAGCACCGAGAGCCACUGCUCAGAUUUGGGUUGGAAGUAGGUAUUUUGCAAAUGUGCUGAAAAAUGAUUGGUUCAUAUUGAUUUUCAGGCCAAGGAAUGCUGUUCUUAUAAAUGCUGUGUUCAUGAUUUUAUUAUUUAUUAGGGCCGUUUAAAGGAUAUCUUUGAAAGGAAGGGUGUUUUCCUCUGGAAGACAUUAGAGGACAUUCCUACGACAUACUUGUCCAUUCUUUCGCUGCUGUGUGGAUUCCACAUUGUGAUGGGACCUUGACUGUUUGGGAGACCCUUGGAGGCUGGAGAAACAUGUGAGCUAGUUUCUUACCGAAGAGCUGCAGCUCUGAGCUGUGUGGAUCCACUGCUUGAAUGAAGUCAGUGAUGUCACUGGAAGGAAGUGACUUGGGGGACAGUGGAAACUCACACCCCUGAGCACCUGCUGCCUCCCUGCCCUCUGGGGUCCUCCUGGCCCGGCAGGGUGGGCUUGUGGGUUCCUUAGCUUUUGACCAGGACAGGGUUUGCCUGUGCCAACUGCCAGCACAAGGGGUGUGCACACAUGCCUGAAGCAGUUCAGAAAUUGAGGGCCAGAGUGGGAAGUUUGAGAAUCCACAGGAGUUGGUCCUAUGGGGAGAGUGGACAGCCCCCAGGCCCGGGAGGUUGUGGGGACUCGCCUCUUGCCAACUGAGCCCUGCGGGGCUGACAGAGGCUGCUGUGCAGGCAGAAGGUAGAGUGCUGUGUGAAGCUCCGCUGACUCCAGGGCACCCUGGGAGCUGUUUUCUGUUUCCAGUUUUUUAUCCUGGCAUAGGUGGUGCUGGUUAUUACUAUUAUUAAUUUGGUAAAAAAGCUGAAUGUAGGGAAAAUAAUUAUAUUUUCAUUGAGGACUCUUAUUGAUGGAGAUUUUGUCUAAAGUCUGUUUAGUGUCAUGUGAAAAUCAUUUUGUAUAAUUUCAGUUUAAACUUAGUAUUCCAGUGGCUUGGAGUACUUAGCUAAACUGGUUACUUUAAAAGAACAUCUUCCAUUCUUGGAAUUCUAAGCUCCGUUCAUCAGAAUGUUAGCUUCGCAUUGAAGGACAUGGUGUUUUUCAAUCUUUGUCCCCAGUCUGAAAGGCACCUUCACCCCGCCCACUCGCAGGACUCCAGGCAGCCUGCAGAGCCCAGGCCCGUCUCCAGCAGUGGAGAACCAGAAGUGCGGCCUUCCGCGGCUCUCAUGGGAGCCUGUGUGUCUGCUGCCAGUCAUGGAAAUCACACUUUCUGAAAUACUGGAAGCACCUGUUCAAUCCCCUGGGCCACUGAAAUUCCAGAGUGGAUACUUGAAGGUGAGGUCCAUGAGGAUUGAAUUGCUAACACCUUGCCUGUAACAACUGUACAGAAAAGUUCAGGAGUGUCUGCUGAGCAUAGGGUUAGUGGAGGACGUAGGAGAGGCCAGUGUUUCAUGGCUGCAGCUGAUUCCUUUUCUCGGUGUAGUAAGACGCUAACUAUUAACACUUACUUGCAAGUCACAAAGAUGAAUGAAAAAUCUCCUGUCAUCCUCCCAUCCAGAUGGCUGGUAUUCUGCUGUGUUGCCUUCCUGUAUCCACGUACCUUUGUGUGCACAUACCUGGAGUGCUUUUCAGCCAAAAGCCUGUGGUGAUGCUGUACCACUUGGUAGGUCCCUCUGGCUGUCACUAUCAUGUCUUUGUAUUAAAUAGAGAUCUGCAUCAUGACCCUGGAAGCUACAGAGAGAUUGUGAGUUGGUGAAGCGGUUCUCUGGGUGGAUGUCUGGGUUGUUGAUGGUGCGUGCUGGGGGCUGUGGAGAGAUUGUGAGUUAGUGAAGCGGUUCUCGUGAGUCAACGUCUGGGUUGUUGAUGGUGUGUGUUGCAGGCUGUGGAGAGAUUGUGAGUUGGUGAAGCGGUUCUCUGGGUGGACGUCUGGGUUGUUGACGGUGCAUGUUGGGGACUAUGGAGAAGUCAUGAGUUGGUGAAGCGGUUCUCAUGGGUGGACGUCUGGGUUGUUGACGGUGUGUGUUGCAGACUGUGGAGAGGUUGUUAGUUGGUGAAGCAGUUCUUAUGGGUGGACAUCUGGGUUGUUGAUGGUUGUCUUCCAUGGAAGCUGCAGCUCUGGAGAGUCUCCUCCAUGGCCCUCGACUCUCUCCCCGCUCCUGCCCCUCCCCAGCCCCUGUAAUUCCAGCCCUCACUGUCCCCUCACUGGCCUUCCCCCCACUUUUCUCUUCUGCUUGUUCCACUUUUCGUCUUCUCUAACACACAGCUGCCUGCAUCCCAGGCUGGGACGUAGUGACCCAGCCUCUGGGAGUUCCAUGUCAUCUGCUGCUUCUGCCACAUGUUUUAUUUUCUGAUUGUUCAAGAAUGGCAAUGGAACAAAAGACACUGUCAGAGAGCAUUGCAUUUGAACUGCACUCCAGCUGUGCAGCCUCUCCUGUGUGUCCCCUCUCCAUGUUCUGGGGACUCUCAUGGGGAGCACCUGCCAUCUGCCCCCUUCAUGCCCAGCGCAGGCCUCUGCUGAUGUGCAAUGUGUGUGCUUGGUGACUACAUGGAUGCGCAGGGACUGCUUGGCCCCUUGAGGCCUGUCAGAGCCUUUGCAGUCAGUGAUCCUGGGGCUGGCCUGCCUGUGGUUGGACUUUGGACUUUCCCCUUCUUUGCCCCGUGGUUCCUGCAGAGGAUUUCAGUGUGGGUGUGCGGGGAGCAUGAGGGCCCUGGGUCUGGGGUGUCCCAGUGGUAACAGGGGCCUGUGGCCAGCUCUGUGGCAUUCUCAGGUGGACCCACUUCAGAGGAGCCACAUGCCUCUUCAGAGACAGAGCCUCGAAGGCUGGAGUCAUUGAUGGAAUCUUGUAAUUGCAGUCACACUGGCUUGCACUGAGGUUUCACGGUUCAUUUGCAGAAGCGUGAAGACAAAGAAGAACCCAAGGUCCUGACGUGGCCUGGGAGCCCAGAUGUGGCUCUCCUGGCAGAAUGGAUGGCGUAGGGGCCCCACCCAUGGAGGGGAGAAUACAGCCACAGGGACGGAUUCCUGGAGGGCAGGAGUGUCACUGGGGCCUUGUAACCCGGUUCAACCCAGAUCAGCCACUUACACUGUGUCAUGUGGGGCGGUGAACAGAUGCUGUAGGGGUGUUUGUGGGUAAAGAGAGAGAUUGAUUUUAAGGAAUCAGCUCACAGAAUGUGAGGCGGUGAGUGCAAAAUCUGCAGAGUGAGCCAUGAGCAGGUGCCCUGGGAAGAGCUGGUGCUGCAUCUAAGGCUGAAAAUGAGGCAGAGCUCCUUCCUCCUCAGGAACCACAGGCUUCUCUUCAGGUCGCCAGCAGACUGGGUAAGGCCCACACAUAGUAUGAAGGCAGUCUCCUUCACUCACAGUCCACCAGCCUAACCUUUAAUCCCCACU